rnacentral:rRNA from 1 species
UACGUAGGGCGCAAGCGUUGUCCGGAAUUAUUGGGCGUAAAGAGCUCGUAGGCGGCUUGUCACGUCGGGUGUGAAAGCCCGGGGCUUAACCCCGGGUCUGCAUUCGAUACGGGCUAGCUAGAGUGUGGUAGGGGAGAUCGGAAUUCCUGGUGUAGCGGUGAAAUGCGCAGAUAUCAGGAGGAACACCGGUGGCGAAGGCGGAUCUCUGGGCCAACACUGACGCUCAUGCACGAAAGCGUGGGGAGCAAACAGG